CGGCAACAGCUCAAAUUUGAAAUCUGGCGUCUUUGGCGUCCGAGUUGUAAUUUGCAGAGGGCGCUUUGGCAUUGGCAGCGGUCCAAGUUCCUUGGAACAGGACGUCACAGAGGGUGAGAAUCCCGUACGUGGUCGCUAGCCUUUACCGUGUAAAGCCCCUUCGAC
rnacentral:rRNA from 1 species